GGAGGGGGGCAAGCGUUGUUCGGAAUUACUGGGCGUAAAGGGCGCGUAGGCGGGAAGAUCAAGUCAGGGGUGAAAGGCCUGGGCUCAACCCGGGAACUGCCUUUGAAACUGGUUUUCUAGAGUACGGGAGAGGAUGGCGGAAUUCCCAGUGUAGAGGUGAAAUUCGUAGAUAUUGGGAAGAACACCGGUGGCGAAGGCGGCCAUCUGGCCCGGUACUGACGCUAAGGCGCGAAAGCGUGGGGAGCAAACAGGAUUAGAUACCCUGGUAGUCCACGCCGUAAACGAUGUGUGCUAGCCGUUGGGGCCUCAGGUCUCAGUGGCGCAGCUAACGCGUUAAGCACACCGCCUGGGGAGUACGGCCGCAAGGUUA
rnacentral:rRNA from 1 species